UUUUUUUUUUUUUUCAGCGAUCCAGUCUAUGGUCAUUUUUUACAGCUGCCACAGGAACCCCCAUAUGGAGGACAAAGACUUUGCUCAGUUGCUGCAGUUUUGAUUCCUGAACCUGCUGUGCAAUGCGUCUUCCCAGAUGGUAGAACUACUGCUGGCCCAAACCCACUGGGUUCUGUUCAGGUUCAAAUAAGACUAUGCCUCUGAACAGAUGCAUAGCAGUGCCUGACACUGAACCAGUCAAGUCCUAGUUUCCCCUUUCAGUGACCCUGUACUUCUGCCAACUCGUAUCUCACCAAUCCACAGGGCAGACGUUCUGUUAAUUUCAGCUUUUCCAUGUGCUAUAUCACACAGCAACCGUGGUGUAUAUGUCUUGUGAAUACCUAAGAUUUUAAAAAAUUCCUUGCCAUGAAUUGUUACAGAAUUCUUAAUAUUGUUGGGAAUAAUACUAGUUGGUCCAAGAAUAUAAAGUUCCUUUGUUUUGUUUUUAAGGCUCUGGUUACAUGUGGUCAUUUUGCCUUCUGAAAAGUAUUCUGUCAGGAUGCUUUCAUGAACAAGCCUAGGACCUCAGAUCCAUUUUUUUCCCACCCUUCCAUCAAACGUUUCCUUGUAAUCCACGUGCUAGGCUGUUUUGGGCCCACCAACUCCAUAACUAAGAUAUUGCUUAAGACUCAUUUACCCAAGUCCAGGAGGAAUAAAUCUUUGAGGGGAAAAAACCCCACGAAUAACCUUCUCUUUUGGCUUAUCACGUGCAACGUGGGAAGUCUCUUCUGAUAGGGAAGCACCAGGAAUCCUAGAAUCCUGCGACCGCAGUAGCCAUGGGAGAUGUGGAAAGUGAGCAGUGAUUUUAAAAUCCCGGUCACUCUGUUUGUUCUCUUCGGAACAGCAGGUUAUCAUCAUUAACCAAGUCACCCAACUUGGAGUGUCACGUCACCUGCAGAGCAGUUGAUGCUGGUGUCACUGUAGCAUCCCACACAUUAUGUUUGGUGUUAAUUUAAGAUAGUGUCAAAAUUAGCUGGUAUCAUCUGCAGGAAGUUGCUGGUUUUGUUGGUUUGGGUUUUUGUGUUUAAAUGGGUCCAGUUUGGGCAGUAAGCCCCAGGAGGACUUACAGGUCGCUCACACCUUGGCUGAUGAAUUGCCGAUGUCCCUAAUGCAUCGGCAGUUGUAUUUGAGCUGGUAUUUGAGCCAACAGUGUGACAUGUCCAAGGUGAGACCUGAGGUUAGAACUUGGAGCCAAGAAGCAUGCCCACAUCAAGGUGCCAACUGUCCUCCCUUUUCAGGAACAGCUCAGUGAUUUCCACACCUGUUGUAGGAUGUGUCACUUCAAAGAUAGGUACUAAUACCCUCUCUCCCCCCGGACAGCUUCCUGGUACUGUUUCCUUUCAACCCCCAUGUUUCAGCAUAGGCUUGUGACAAAGGAAAGGCAUGUUAACUGCUGUCUUUUUUAUUUUUUAUUUUUGUCUCUUCUAGGGCUGCUCCCGCGGCAUAUGGAGGUUCCCAGGCUAGGGGUCCAAUCGGAGCUGUAGCCGCCGGCCUACGCCAGAGCCACAGCAAUGCAGGAUCCGAGCCGCGUCUGCGACCUACACCACAGCUCACGGCAACGCCGGAUCCUUAACCCACUGAGCGAGGCCAGGGAUGGAACCCGCAACCUCAUGGUUUCUAGUUGGGCUUGUUAACCACUAAGCCAUGAUGGGAGCUUCCUUUUUUCUUUUUUAAUUCCUUUGUUCUUUUUCCCAUCCCAUUCUCAUCUGUCCCUUUCCUGCCUUCUUUUGCUCCUCAUUUCUUCGGACUCGUUCGGUUGUUGGAACCAUUACCUUGAAGUUGAGACUAGGCAGCGUCAGGCUCACCAAUGUGCUCUUCAGGUGUUACUGCGCGUGACCCUGUGCCAUCAAAGUGGUCACCACGUGGGACGCCUGGAAGAAGCGGGAGGGGAGGCUGGGAUGCAGGGUGCAGUUUUCCGCAGCCGUCCUCUCUGUCAUGGUUUUAGGUUGGCCUGCAUAUUCUUUGACCUUCUCCCCCAAAGAGGUAGAGUCUGAUUCCACCCUCCCAUCCUUGAAUGGGGCCACUCUUACUGAUUCCCUUCCAACUGAUUAGAAUGUGGUCCAGGGGACCUUGCGGUUCAGUCCUAAGAGGCGAUCGUGCUUCCGUCUGGUUCUACCUCUCUCCUCGUGGGAGGCUCCCCCUUGGAGCCUGGCUGCCCUGCUGUGAGGAUGCUCCAUCUGGCUCCCGAGCACCGGAGCUCAGCCUGCAUCCCGAGACCUGGAACUCAGGCUGCAUCAACCAUGAGACAGGACGACGUGCCCUCCGAGCCUGCCCAUGGUUCCAGCUUCCCAACACUGUCAAACAGGAACUGACUGGCCCCCUGGUGCCCUCGUCAAAUUCCUGACUCAUAGACGUCGUGAACAGGAGAAGGGGGUGGUCCACACCUCUAAGUCGUGGGGUCGUUUGAUGCACAUGUAUAAUAACUGGAAUAUCUUCUAUCAAUACUCUCAGCUGAUUCUUUUCCAUCAGAAAUGAAGCCGUUGUACUUCAUUCACCACCUGGCUGUGGAGUGGUGUACCCGAAUUUGAGGAUAUUUGACUCACGUGCUUUAAGGAAGUUAAAUACAGUAGAAGUAAAUCAACGGCGGUGAGUUGAGCUGAGCCUGGCCUGGCCUGUUUUCUGUAGCUUUCAGUCCCUGCGGCAGGGAGGAGCGGGUGUUUCUGCCCUUCUCAGGAAGGGCUCAGGAAUUACCUGUCUUGGCUCUGACUUCCUCCUUUCCUGAGAAUGAGGGAGCACCGUGUUUGCACGAGAAUGAAGACGUGACAUUCAUUCUGUGUCAUUCCUGACUCUGAGCAGGCGGAUGGCUGUUUACUGUUGUCUUUUCCUGCUCAGCUUUUUCAAGACCCAUUCCUUAACCCCACCCCCCUUUUUGUGGUUUUCACAUUUUAAUAACGUGAAACCGUGUUUCCCAAACUUCAUUUUUAUACCACCUUCACACCUUUUGUGCUGUCUACUCUUCUGUUAUAGUGUUUGCUUGUAAUUUCUCUUUAAAUCUACUUAGAUUUUUAAUCACAGCUAUUUAUGAGAAAAGUUUUAUAUUACUAAUAGAGAUGGAAGACCGGUGUCAUUUGUCGGAAAUACCAGAUACUCAUUAAAAAUAACCGAAAAGCAAACCGUGGUUUUAAACUCUGGUUAGAUUGCCCGUGACUCUGGAGUUAAAGAGAAAGAAGCAUCAAAACCAGACUCUUGCUUUUUCUCAUGCAUAUAGGAUUGUAAGAGAAUUGGGAAGGGAAUUUUCCCUUCCAUGCCUGACUCAGGAGUAUAGUCCCAGAAGACUGGAACUCAGGUGUAAUAUGUGCCUGUCAGUUUCCCCAAAGCACCUUUCUCGCAAUUGUCCUAAUCAGAACUUCAAAAAGAUCUACUGUGUUAAUAAACCUGUUAGUCACGGGCCUUUUUAGAGGGUUGUUGGCUGUCAUUUCUCAGACUGGAGCUAUGUCCAUACCAGUUUAGGAAAUCUGUCAGGCCCUUAAUCUAGUCGAGCUUGGAGACAAAACUGGUUGAUGAGGAACCAGGGCUCUGGUGAGGAAUUGUAUAUAUAGCUCCUUGAGUGCCCUGCUGUUUGAUCUGCUGGUAUUCUGGGUGUUGGAGGGUGUUCUGGAUGAGAUUAGCAUUUGAAUCAGACGGAAUGAAUUAGAUGGGCUUCCCUAAGUCUGGGUGGGCCUCGUCCUGUCAGUUGAGGGCCGGAAUAAAGCGAAAGGCUGACCCUCUCCCCAACUCCUCCUCCCUGAGUCGCUUAAGCUUUUUCCUGCCUCUGGACUCAAAUUGAAACAUCAGCUCUCCUUGAGCCUCAAGCCUGCCAGCUUUUGGACUAGAAUUUAUACCACUGGCUCUCCUGGGUCUCCCGCUUGCCAAAUGACGGUCCUGGGACUUCUCCGCCUCCAUAAUCACAUAAGCCAGUUCCUUAUAAUUCAUUAAUAAACUAAUGAAUAAGUGCAUAUGUAUAGCUUAUUGAUUCCAUUUCCCUGGAGGACCCUGAUUAAUAUGGAGGCAAGAUCCUGUUUUGAGUGAUUUGGGCUCCAGGAGUCGUUCAGAUAUGUCAGCCGUGAAGCUUCCUGGUCUGUCCUGAGCCAUGCAGGUAUUCAGAGUGCUCAUUCGUGGUCAUCUUUCGGUGUCGUGUCUGGGGGCACAGGCGGCCCUGGCCCCGAGGAGAGAGCAGGCAGUUCCCCCACUCUUGGUAUCUUCAUCUUCCAGAAUAAUCAUGCCUUCUUCAGCCACGGUAGCCCCUGGCCCACGUACUGGUCCAUUUCCACAAUGGCUCCACCCAGUGGUGUCUGACUGCAUAGAAGGUUGGAGAUGGAAGCCCUGGAAUCCUCCCCACCCGCUUUGCUCUUGUGUGGUGUGUGCCAGACCUUGUGUAUCAUGCGAGGCUCCACACCCUGUGCCUUGGGGCAGAGUCCAUGCACGUGGCUCUUGCCCAGCUGGACCAGAAGCCAGAAUACAUUCCGGCUUCCCCCUAAGUCCCAUAUACACUUGCUCUCAUCCUCUGGCCUCUCUUGGGCCGGCCGUCUCAAUUUACUGGUAAACCCACCUCGAGAGAUCCUGGCCUGGGUUGAUUCUCUUAACCCCGUGUCUUAAAUAGAGUCACCUAGAAGGAGAUCCCAAGACAGGGACUUGGCUGCAGAGUGCUUUACAGCGGGCGUGUUCUCGGGGGAAGCCUGGGAUGGGUGGACAGCAAGGUGGGAAGGGGGAAGCGAUGUCUUCUGGCUCUGGCCUGCCCGCGAGGCUCUGCAGGAUGACGUGGACCUCAGAGCCAUCCCACCUUGAAGCCAGAGGGCCAGGCUCUUCUAGCCCCAGGUCGGGCAGUCUUGGGCCGCCCCCUGUGGGGGCUGCCGCGCCUUCCCAGGUGUCUUGGGCGAGGUCAACAAAGGCAAUAGCCGGGACUCCUUCUUCAGAGAAGGUCGCAAGAGCUGGGAGUUGGCACAGCGGCCAAGGGAAGGGGAUUCAUCGAUGGUACCAGCAGCCUCUGCCCCUCCCUCCUCGUCACCGUUGGUGCCUCCUAGUCUCACUCACAGAGACGGACACAUCCUCAUAUGGAUCAUUAUACACACCACACGGUAUUUGUCAUCUGUUGUUUCACUUCUUGCUGUUGUCUUCAUCACAGAGCCCUGUAAAACCGAUGCCAGAGCAGAGGCUAGCUGCGCAGAGGUGAUGUGUAGGGGCCCUCGAAGUCAUGAACUC
rnacentral:lncRNA from 1 species